GGGAUUGCCUUAGUAACGGCGAGCGAAGCGGCAAGAGCUCAGAUUUGAAAUCUGGCCCCUCUGGGGUCCGAGUUGUAAUCUGUAGGGGAUGCUUCGGAGCCAUACCCGGCCUAAGUUCCUUGGAACAGGACGUCGCAGAGGGUGAGAAUCCCGUGUGCGGCCGGUGGACGGUUCCGUGUGAAGCUCCUCCAACGAGUCGAGUUGUUUGGGAAUGCAGCUCUAAAUGGGAGGUAAAUUUCUUCUAAAGCUAAAUACUGGCCAGAGACCGAUAGCGCACAAGUAGAGUGAUCGAAAGAUGAAAAGCACUUUGGAAAGAGAGUUAAACAGUACGUGAAAUUGUUGAAAGGGAAGCGCUUGCGACCAGACUCGAUCGUCGUGGAUCACCCCUCCCCGCGGAGGGCUCACUCCGCCUCGAUCGGGCCAGCAUCGGUUCCGGCGGUCGGAUAAAGGCGUUCGGGAAUGUGGCUCCUCUCGGGGAGUGUUAUAGCCCGUCGUGCAAUACGGCCUGCUGGGACCGAGGACCGCGCUUCGGCAAGGAUGCUGGCGUAAUGGUCGUAAGCGGCCCGUCUUGAAACACGGACCAAGGAGUCUAACAUCUAUGCGAGUGUUCGGGUGUCAAACCCCUACGCGUAAUGAAAGUGAACGGAGGUCGGAGCCCUCGGGCGCACGAUCGACCGAUCCUGAUGUCUUCGGAUGGAUUUGAGUAAGAGCAUAGCUGUUGGGACCCGAAAGAUGUGCGAGCUAUACCUGAGUAGGCCGAAGCCAGCGGAAACGCUGGUGGAGGGUCGCAGCGGUUCUGACGUGCAAAUCGAUCGUCAAACUUGGGUAUAGGGGCGAAAGACUAAUCGAGCCAUCUAGUACCUGGUUCCUGCCGAAUUUCCUCAGAU
rnacentral:rRNA from 1 species